CGGACGGGUGAGUAACGCGUGGGUAACCUGCCUUACACAGGGGGGAUAACACUUAGAAAUAGGUGCUAAUACCGCAUGAGCGCACAGGACCGCAUGGCCGAGUGUGAAAAACUGAGGUGGUGUAAGAUGGACCCGCGUCUGAUUAGCUAGUUGGUGAGGUAACGGCCCACCAAGGCGACGAUCAGUAGCCGGCCUGAGAGGGUGGACGGCCACAUUGGGACUGAGACACGGCCCAAACUCCUACGGGAGGCAGCAG
rnacentral:rRNA from 1 species